rnacentral:misc_RNA from 1 species
GAUGAAGAACGCAGCGAAAUGCGAUACGUAAUGUGAAUUGCAGAAUUCAGUGAAUCAUCGAAUCUUUGAACGCAUAUUGCGCUCUUUGGUAUUCCGAAGAGCAUGCUUGUUUGAGUAUCAGUAAACACCUCAACCUCUUCUUGAUUUUUCAAAAGGAGGGUGGACUUGAGCUAUCCCAACAACCUUUACCGGUCGGCGGGCGGCUUGAAAUGCAGGUGCAGCUGGACUUUUAUCUGAGCUAAAAGCAUAUCUAUUUAGUCCUCGUCAAACAGGAUUAUUACUUUUGCUGCAGCUAACAUAAAGGAUAAUUGUCCUCUUUGCUGACUGAUGCAGGAUUUUACGCCACUUUAUGUGUUGUUCAACUCGAUCUCAAAUCAAGUAAGACUACCCGCUGAACUUAAGCAUAUCAAUAAGCGGAGGA